rnacentral:rRNA from 1 species
UACGUAGGCAGCAAGCGUUGUUCGGAGUUACUGGGCGUAAAGGGUGCGUAGGUGGCUCUAUAAGUCUGGUGUGAAAUCUCCCGGCUUAACUGGGAGGGUGCGCCGUAGACUGUGGGGCUAGAGUGUGGGAGAGGAAAGUGGAAUUCCUGGUGUAGCGGUGAAAUGCGUAGAUAUCAGGAGGAACACCGGUGGUGUAAACGGCUUUCUGGACCAUAGCUGACACUGAGGCACGAAAGCGUGGGUAGCAAACAGG